AACGAACGCUGGCGGCGUGCCUAACACAUGCAAGUCGAGCGAGAAAGGGGGAGCAAUCCCCUGAGUAGAGCGGCGAACGGGUGAGUAACGCGUGGGCAAUCUGCCCUCCAGCCCGGGAUAACACCUCGAAAGGGGUGCUAAUACCGGAUGACAUCAGCCCGGCGCAUGCCGGGCUGAUCAAAGGCGGCCUCUGCAUGCAAGCUGUCACUGGGGGANGAGCCUGCGUCCGAUUAGCUAGUUGGCGGGUAACGGCCCACCAAGGCGACGAUCGGUAGCCGGCCUGAGAGGGUGACCGGCCACACUGGGACUGAGAUACGGCCCAGACUCC
rnacentral:rRNA from 1 species